UAACAAAAACAUGGUCUUUUGAGAAUAAUUUAAGAUCGGUUCUGCUCACUGAAUAAAAUAUUUAAAGAGCUGCAGUAUCCUGACUGUGCAAAGGUAGCAAAGUCAAUUGUUUUUUAAUUGUAAACUGGAAUGAAAGAGCUGAUGAGAUAUAAACUGUCUCUAUUUAAGUAUUAGAAUUUGAAAUUUAAGUUAAAAUUCUUAAAUUUAAUUAUUAGACGAUAAGACCCUAUAGAAUUUUAUAAUAUUUAUUAUAACUUAUUUAUUAAAAUUUUUAAAUAUAUUAUAGCAUGAUUAUUUGAUUGGGAGGAUUUUUAAAUUUAAUGAACUUAAAAUAAUAAAAACCAAAAAUUUUUGAGUUAAUGAUUUUAAAAUAAUUAAAAGAUUAAAUUACCUUAGGGAUAACAGCGUAAUACUUUUGGAGAGAUCAUAUUAAUAAAAGUGUUUGCGACCUCGAUGUUGAAUUAAGAUAAAAAUUAAAUGCAGAAGUUUAAUAUUUAAGUCUGUUCGACUUUUAAAAUCUUACGUGAUCUGAGUUC
rnacentral:rRNA from 1 species